UACGGAGGGUGCAAGCGUUGUCCGGAUUUAUUGGGUUUAAAGGGUGCGUAGGUGGCCUUAUAAGUCAGUGGUGAAAGCCUGCAGCUUAACUGUAGGACUGCCAUUGAUACUGUAGGGCUUGGGUACUGAUGAGGUAGGCGGAAUUGAUAGUGUAGCGGUGAAAUGCAUAGAUAUUAUCAAGAACACCGAUUGCGAAGGCAGCUUACUAAGGAGUUACUGACACUGAGGCACGAAAGCGUGGGGAUCAAACAGG
rnacentral:rRNA from 1 species